ACGGGGCCGCACAAGCGUGGAGCAUGUGGGUUUAAUUCGAAGCAACGCGAAGAACCUUACCAGGUCUUGACAUCCCGAUGCUAUUUCUAGAGAUAGAAAGUUACUUCGGUACAUCGGUGACAGGUGGUGCAUGGUUGUCGUCAGCUCGUGUCGUGAGAUGUUGGGUUAAGUCCCGCAACGAGCGCAACCCCUAUUGUUAGUUGCCAUCAUUCAGUUGGGCACUCUAGCGAGACUGCCGGUAAUAAACCGGAGGAAGGUGGGAUGACGUCAAAUCAUCAUGCCCCUUAUGACCUGGGCUACACACGUGCUACAAUGGUUGGUACAACGAGUUGCGAGUCGGUGACGGUGAGCUAAUCUCUUAAAGCCAAUCUCAGUUCGGAUUGUAGGCUGCAACUCGCCUACAUGAAGUCGGAAUCGCUAGUAAUCGCAGGUCAGCAUACUGCGGUGAAUACGUUCCCGGGCCUU
rnacentral:rRNA from 1 species